UAGGGUUUGAUUCUGGCUCAGAUUGAACGCUGGCGGCAGGCCUAACACAUGCAAGUCGAGCGCGAAAGCACUUCGGUGUGAGUAGAGCGGCGGACGGGUGAGUAACGCGUAGGAAUCUACCUGGUAGUGGGGGACAACUCGGGGAAACUCGAGCUAAUACCGCAUACGCCCUACGGGGGAAAGCGGGGGACCUUCGGGCCUCGCGCUAUCAGAUGAGCCUGCGUUGGAUUAGCUAGUUGGUGGGGUAAUGGCCUACCAAGGCGACGAUCCAUAGCUGGUCUGAGAGGAUGAUCAGCCACACCGGGACUGAGACACGGCCCGGACUCCUACGGGAGGCAGCAGUGGGGAAUAUUGCGCAAUGGGCGAAAGCCUGACGCAGCCAUGCCGCGUGUGUGAAGAAGGCCUUCGGGUUGUAAAGCACUUUCAAUUGGGAGGAAAGGUUCACGGCUAAUACCCGUGAGCCGUGACGUUACCUUUAGAAGAAGCACCGGCUAACUCCGUGCCAGCCGCCGCGGUAAUUCA
rnacentral:rRNA from 1 species